rnacentral:rRNA from 1 species
UACGAAGGGGGCUAGCGUUGUUCGGAAUUACUGGGCGUAAAGCGCACGUAGGCGGAUAUUUAAGUCAGGGGUGAAAUCCCGGGGCUCAACCCCGGAACUGCCUUUGAUACUGGGUAUCUCGAGUCCGAGAGAGGUGAGUGGAAUUCCGAGUGUAGAGGUGAAAUUCGUAGAUAUUCGGAGGAACACCAGUGGCGAAGGCGGCUCACUGGCUCGGUACUGACGCUGAGGUGCGAAAGCGUGCGGAGCAAACGGG